rnacentral:rRNA from 1 species
CCUACGGGAGGCAGCAGUGGGGAAUCUUGCGCAAUGCGCGAAAGCGUGACGCAGCAACGCCGCGUGAGGGAAGACGGCCUUCGGGUUGUAAACCUCUUUCAGUUGGGACGAAGCCACGGCGGUUAAUACCCGUCUGUGGUGACGGUACCUUCAGAAGAAGCCCCGGCUAACUACGUGCCAGCAGCCGCGGUAAUACGUAGGGGGCAAGCGUUGUCCGGAAUCAUUGGGCGUAAAGCGCGUGUAGGCGGCUUGGUAAGUCCGCUCUGAAAGCCCGGGGCUCAACCCCGGGAGGCGGGUGGAUACUGUCAAGCUCGAGUCCGGAAGAGGCGAGUGGAAUUCCUGGUGUAGCGGUGAAAUGCGCAGAUAUCAGGAGGAACACCAAUGGCGAAGGCAGCUCGCUGGGACGUGACUGACGCUGAGACGCGAAAGCGUGGGGAGCAAACAGGAUUAGAUACCCUGGUAGUCCACGCCGUAAACGAUGGGCACUAGGUGUGGGAGGUGUCGACUCCUCCGUGCCGAGCUAACGCAUAAGUGCCCCGCGUGGGGAGUACGGCCGCAAGGCUAAAACUCGAAAGGAAUUGACGGCGNGAGAGCGCGACGACGACGACGAGGGAGAGG